UUGUUUGUGAUUGCUUGGAUUCCAUAUGUGCCCUUGCUUUCAAUUCCUUUCAAACCUGAAUAUAAUUGUGAAAGAUUAUUGCUUACUUCGGAUUGACUCGUAAAGGCACAUGUACGUUUUGUUGUUCCGCGUGUGCUUCCGAUAUGUGCUAUUCAUUGUUCAUACUAUCCUUUUGUACUCUGGUGUUUGUAGGAUAUUGUGAACCUUCGCCAGAAAUGAUGAAGGGAGUUAUGCAUAGAGCCUAAGAUGCUCUGUCGGCCCCCUAUGACUUCACUCAGACGUGGGUGGAUGGAGCUCCCAGACGUGGGAGACCUCCCAGACAUGGGAGACUUAUGUUUGGUGGUCAUUCAGAAAUGGAUGUAUCAUAUUAUGUUAUGGUCCCACUUCACCUUCUGUAUGUUUGAUAUGAUAUCCAAAGCUUUGGUUAUGUGUUUCUAUACAUGCUUUGGAUAAGAAUGAUAUGAAUGCAACGUCAAAGACGACGUUUGAGCUUCUGUUUAGUAUUUGUUAUUG
rnacentral:lncRNA from 1 species